rnacentral:rRNA from 1 species
ACGGCUCAGUAACACGUGGAUAACCUGCCCUAGGGAAGGGGAUAAUCCCGGGAAACUGGGGAUAAUACCCUAUAGGUUUCAGAUGCUGGAAUGCUCUGUAACCCAAAGUUCCGGCGCCUUAGGAUGGAUCUGCGGCCGAUUAGGUUGUUGUUGGGGUAACGGCCCAACAAGCCCUUGAUCGGUACGGGUUGUGGGAGCAAGAGCCCGGAGAUGGAUUCUGAGACACUAAUCCAGGCCCUACGGGGUGCAGCAGGCGCGAAAACUUUACAAUGCUGGGAACAGCGAUAAGGGAACCUCGAGUGCCAGGUUACAAAUCUGGCUGUCGUGAUGCCUAAAAAGCAUUAUAUAGCAAGGGCCGGGCAAGACCGGUGCCAGCCGCCGCGGUAACACCGGCGGCUCGAGUGGUAACCGUUAUUAUUGGGUCUAAAGGGUCUGUAGCCGGCCGGAUAAGUCUCUUGGGAAAUCUGGCAGCUUAACUGUCAGGCUUUCAGGGGAUACUGUCUGGCUCGAGGCCGGGAGAGGUGAGAGGUACUUCAGGGGUAGGGGUGAAAUCUUGUAAUCCUUGAAGGACCACCAGUGGCGAAGGCGUCUCACCAGAACGGACCUGACGGCAAGGGACGAAAGCUAGGGGCACGAACCGGAUUAGAUACCCGGGUAGUCCUAGCCGUAAACGAUACUCGCUAGGUGUCGGCCACGGUGCGACCGUUGUCGGUGCCGUAGGGAAGCCGUGAAGCGAGCCACCUGGGAAGUACGGCCGCAAGGCUGAAACUUAAAGGAAUUGGCGGGGGA